rnacentral:rRNA from 1 species
UUGUCCUACGGGGGGCAGCAGUGAGGAAUAUUGGUCAAUGGGCGGGAGCCUGAACCAGCCAAGUCGCGUGAAGGAAGAAGGUACUUAGUAUUGUAAACUUCUUUUGUCGGGGAACAAAGGCGGAGACGCGUCUCAGGAUGAGUGUACCCGAAGAAAAAGCAUCGGCUAACUCCGUGCCAGCAGCCGCGGUAAUACGGAGGAUGCGAGCGUUAUCCGGAUUUAUUGGGUUUAAAGGGGGCGCAGGCGGGAGAUCAAGUCAGCGGUAACAUGUCGGGGCUCAACCCCGGCCGGACGUUGAAAGUGGG